UACGUAGGGACCGAGCGUUGUCCGGAUUCAUUGGGCGUAAAGAGCGCGUAGGCGGCCCGCUAAGUCGAACGUGAAAUCCCCGGGCUCAACCUGGGAACUGCAUCCGAAACUGCCUUGCUCGAGUAUGGGAGAGGGAAGUGGAAUUUCCGGUGUAGCGGUGAAAUGCGUAGAUAUCGGAAGGAACAUCAGUGGCGAAAGCGGCUUCCUGGACCAGUACCGACGUUCAGGCACGAAAGCGUGGGGAGCAAACGGG
rnacentral:rRNA from 1 species